AGCAUACCUACAUAACAGCACCUUCAGCAUAACUCUGCUCUUCCAUGCUGGUAAAAAUCCCUGCCUCUCUGCAGCCAGGUUUCUUGGAUUCAGCCAAAAAGAGACUGAACAGACUACUGGUUGCUCACGUUCUGGUCUCUGAGAAUUGGAGGUUGCUACUACUCUUCACAUUGCUCAUCCAGAAUAUCAGAAUGAAAGCAGCUACUGUUGAAGAUGACCCCUCUCCCACGAUUCUAGACUUCAUAGGAUUUACUCCCUGCUCCUCCUUGAAAAUCUAUUCUACUCAAAUAAGGACUGCAGAAGAGGAUGGGUAUAAAAUGAGUUGGGUAAGGAAACAAUGAGA
rnacentral:lncRNA from 1 species